CGGAGGGAUCAUUACUGAGUUUACGCUCUACAACCCUUUGUGAACAUACCUAUAACUGUUGCUUCGGCGGGUAGGGUCUCCGCGACCCUCCCGGCCUCCCGCCUCCGGGCGGGUCGGCGCCCGCCGGAGGGAGGAUAACCAAACUCUGAUUUAACGACGUUCUGAGUGGUACAAGCAAAUAAUCAAAACUUUUAACAACGGAUCUCUUGGUUCUGGCAUCGAUGAAGAACGCAGCGAAAUGCGAUAAGUAAUGUGAAUUGCAGAAUUCAGUGAAUCAUCGAAUCUUUGAACGCACAUUGCGCCCGCCAGCAUUCUGGCGGGCAUGCCUGUUCGAGCGUCAUUUCAACCCUCAAGCUCUGCUUGGUGUUGGGGCCCUACAGCUGAUGUAGGCCCUCAAAGGUAGUGGCGGACCCUCUCGGACGGCCCGGACCGGACCCCCUGUGGGGCCGGCACUGGGAUCCGGAGGGACUCUUGCCGUAAAACCCCCAAUUUUCCAAAGGUUGACCUCGGAUCAGGUAGGAAUACCCGCUGAACUUAAGCAAGCAUAUCA
rnacentral:rRNA from 1 species